UCCGUAGGCGGGCAGCUCAGUCAGUGGUGAAAGUUUGCAGCUCAACUGUAAAAUUGCCAUUGAUACUGGUUGUCUUGAAUUAAUGUGAAGUGGUUAGAAUAUGUAGUGUAGCGGUGAAAUGCAUAGAUAGUACAUGGAAUACCAAUUGCGAAGGCAGAUCACUAACAUUAUAUUGACGCUGAUGGACGAAAGCGUGGGGAGCGAACAGGAUUAGAUACCCUGGUAGUC
rnacentral:rRNA from 1 species